rnacentral:rRNA from 1 species
GCGCAGCAGGCGAGAAUACUCCACAAUGCGCGUAAGCGUGAUGGGGGGAAUCUGAGUGGUUCACUUCGGUGGACCUUUUGCCAAGUAUAGCAAGCUUGGCGAAUAAGUGCUGGGCAAGACGGGUGGCAGCCGCCACGGUAAUACCCGCAGCACAAGUGGUGUCCACGAUUAUUGGGCUUAAAGCGCUCGUAGCUGGCCGGUGUCGUCUUAUGUGAAAUAUUGGCGCUCAACGUCAAUGCGGGCAUGAGAUACCCACCGGCUUGGGAGCGGGUGAGGUCAGGGGUACUUACGGGGGAGGGGUAAAAUCCUGUAAUCCUGUAAGGACCAACGGUGGCGAAGGCGCCUGACCAGAACGCAUCCGACAGUGAGGAGCGAAGGCUAGGAGAACGAAUCGGAUUAGAUACCCCCGUAGUCC